rnacentral:rRNA from 1 species
UACGGGGGGAGCAAGCGUUGUUCGGAUUUACUGGGCGUAAAGGGCGCGUAGGCGGUCAGCACAAGUCAGUUGUGAAAUCUCCGAGCUUAACUCGGAAAGGUCAACUGAUACUGUGCGACUAGAGUGCGGAAGGGGCAACUGGAAUUCUUGGUGUAGCGGUGAAAUGCGCAGAUAUCAGGAGGAACACCAGCGGCGAAGGCGGCGCUCUGGGCUGGAACUGACGCUGAGGAGCGAAAGCGUGGGGAGCGAACAGG